UAGUGUUGGGAAAUAGAAAAUCACAUGGUUGGCAUCUUGACGAGAUUCACCACAAGUACAAUCUGGGGCAGUGCAGCAUCAUGGCUAACAAUGAUGUUAUACUUGUAAAAGGACGACAUUUUUCAGUGUUCGAUUCUCAGCAAGAAAUUGAAAGAGGAAAGAAUGGUGGAAUCUUAGUUACAGAUAAAAUUAGUGGAUUACUGUUUGAACUGCCGCUUUCACCGAAGGUUAUGGAAUUUUUUGAUAUUUAUGUAACAGAUAAAAGUGAAACAUUACCAGAGAAAGCAACUGAAGUUAAUG